GCUGUUACUCAGAGACUGUUGAGGCUAGUGAGAAGUCUCUGUGGAGGUUUCUGGAGAGUGUGGCUGCUUGUCCUUAGUGGCUGAUCCUAUCCUGAUUCCUAUUCUGAUUCCUAUCCUGCCUGCUGUCUGGUGUGCUGUAUUUCCUUGAAGAAAAACCCUGUGAUCCUAAACCACCUGUCUACAGGAAUUCCUGUCAUAAUGUGAGCUGCCAAGUGCCAACCCAUUCUGAGAUGCAUCCAAGCAUUUGAGCAGAAUCUCAGUAAAACUCUCCAAAUACCUCCUCUCUGAGAAUCUGCUUCCCAAAGAGUGACCAGUAUUACUAACUUCUCUCUACUGGGGGAUUCUGGGAAUUCCUUUUAAGGAACUCAACAAACUUUCUUCCCUCUGAUGAAGGAGUCCAGGUCAAGAAACUGGUGUUCAGUUGGUUGCUUAAUUCAUUCAUCUGCUCUUUCUCUAUUUUAUGGAUGUAUAUAUUUAGAGAUACCAAUUUUCCAAAGUGUAGUUGUGGCUACAUCCAGUAAUUUUUUGAUGACCAUCACUGCAGUUUCCAAAUCUUUGCCACCACAGAAGAGCAACUUGAUUCAAAUGAAUAUGCUAAGGAUCAGAGAAGCAAAUUAUGGCUAAUUACCUGAAGUCGCACAGCUAGUGAAUAGCAGAGCUGAGAAUUCACCUUGAUCUUUCAACUUCAAGAUUGGGACACUCCUGCUGCUCUAAACCAUGUUUCUUAAAGGAGGUAUGUUUUAUAUCUUUAAUAUUAUAAAAGAAGUUCUAAUGGAUGUCAAAAGAAGUGAUAAAUUAGUUUAAAGGGUGUUGCAGGCUACAGAUUCAGUACUUGGGACUUUCAAAAAAAGAUACAUUGUCAGUAUGGCCAGCUAAUAAUGAAGUUCUGCUCUUCUUCCCUCAGUGCCCAGAUUAGUCCCAAAACAUGGUUCAGUGAAUAUCAGCACAAGUUUUCUCUUCCCAGGGAAUUAACUCUUGGAGGAGAUAGGUUGAAUCCAAAUGUAAGAAAACUUAGGAAGUAAGGGGAAUAUAAAGAAGUUUUGAAAAUAAAACAGCUAGAAAACAGUGGGUAAGUUGAUAG
rnacentral:lncRNA from 1 species